CCUUUCAACUCUCACCGAGGCUUUGAUGCUGGAGAAUGUAAUCAUCAGAUAAUCAGUUUUCUGUUCUGCUCAGAACGGACUGAUUAUCGCUGCGCUUAAACUUUACGCGAACAUCUGCGGAUGUUGGCUCGUUUUUGCUCAUGUU
rnacentral:sRNA from 1 species